rnacentral:rRNA from 1 species
GACGAACGCUGGCGGCGUGCUUAACACAUGCAAGUCGAACGGAAAGGCCCUGCUUUUGUUGGUUUCUCGAUUGGCGCACGGGUGAGUAACACGUGAGUAUCCUGCCCUUGACUUUGUGAUAACUUCAGGAAACUGGGGCUAAUACCGCAUAGGAGCUCCUGCUGCAUGGUGGGGGUUGGAAAGUUUCGGCGGUUGGGGAUGGACUCGCUGCUUAUCAGCUUGUUUGUGAGGUAGUUGCUUACCAAGGCUUUGACGGGUAGCCGGCCUGAGAGGGUUACCGGGGACAUGGGGACUGAGGUACGGCCCAGAAGGGUACGGGAGGCAGCAGGGGGAAGUAUUGCAGAAUGGGGGGAAGCGUGAUGAAGCAACGCCGCGUGCGGGAUGACGGCUUUCGGGUGGUAAACAGAUUUCGAAUGUGACGAAGCGUGAGUGACGGUAAUGGGUAAAGAAGCAACGGCUAACUACGUG